AGUGUGUCCACUCCUCCCCGGCCAAACUGGUCACCUCUGUCACCUCUGCUGCACCCGGCCCCUUCGUUGUCAGCGAGCUCCAUUCAGGGCUGAGCAAGAAUGGCCUCCAGGAUCCCACAAGGAAAGGCGGGGCUGCGGUUUGAACCCAGAUCUCUCCAGACUGUUCCACUACAACCCAUGGCUGCCCAUGAGAACCACCUGGAAAGCUUUGGACAACACCGAAACCCAGUUCCCAACCCCAGACCGCAAGUAGAGUCCCUGGUCAGGGGCCCCACCCAGCCCUGUGAUCCCAGCUCCACCAGCAGAGGCAGCAGAUCGGGGGUCCAGGGCCUCAGUGCACUCCCAUCCCCGUCGGGGUGCUCCGGCCCUGCUCCUCCACCCCUCAGCCCUGGCUCCCAGCACUCCAGACUCACACUUGGUUUUGGAGUCUUUGCCCAGGAGUAACCCCCAAACGUGUCCUGGUCCUUCCUACGGUGGCAGGCACUGGGGAACCCUCAGCUCUGAGUGUGGGAACACGUGCUGGGACUUAUCGG
rnacentral:lncRNA from 1 species